rnacentral:lncRNA from 1 species
AAAAAAAGAAGGAAAACACCUGUUUUGGGUCUAAUUAUGAAUUGCAGAGAACUAUCAUUCCUAAUUACUAAAUAGCUACAGAAUUCCCAUUUAAGUCAAAUCAACUACACUUGAAAAUAAACCUAGAAUUUAAAUGUUAUCAUCAUUUAUAAUUUAUUCUACUUCUGCACAGAAAAAGAAGGCUCAAUUCAAAAGAAAGCCUUGGAUAGAUGUGUGCUUUGUAAAUCUUGCUUGAUGGUUUUAACACAGAUGACACCAAAUUUUGAAGAAUUGAAUGAGAAGCAGCUUUUUUUUUCUUAAAGCACAUUUUUCAAAUUAAUCUUAACUUAUUCUUGAUAGUUUCUUCACCUCCCACCCAAGAAAAGACAACCUGCAAUAAUUCUAAAAAUAUUUUUAUAUUACCAUUUAAAUCUUCUAAAAACACCAAUAUGAAGCCAUAUUUAAGAAAAUUUUGCACAUAAAAUAACUACUUUUAAUUCAAGAGAAUAAGUAUAAUUAGAUCUCAAAGGCUGAAACAGAUAACAUCUACUACUCAUACAUUAGUAGAAUCAAUGACCCAAAGAAAUCCAAUGCUAAUUUCUCAGGCAAAAUUACUGAGAGUAUGACUGUUAGACCUCAAAUGCAGUUAUAAUUCUCUUAGGAAAGACCAAAUUCUCCCAGCAUCAAUCUUUAAUUUGUAGACAUAGUUCAGUUUCCUCCUGGAUACUACCAAUCAGUACCCCCAAUGUAGGGAGCAUUUAUGUUGAUUUUAAGUCAUUUUAGGCAUUAAUUCAUGCCAUAUAUCAUAAUGCAUAUAUUAUAAUUACAUAUUUCUUUAAAAAGGCAUUUAAAUAUGAGAACAAUAUAGCUGCUAGAAGAAAUUCUAAGGGAAGAAACCAGUAGCCACUUUUCUUAGCUCUGUCUUGUUAGCCAAGCCUUCUUCUGUAGGUUAUUUUAGACAUGUUUGUUUAUGGCUACUUCAAAUAUGGUCACAAAUAACCUUGCUGAUUCUCUUUCUCUAAAAAUCACAUGAUAUAGCACAUAUUCUGACAAAAGCACACAUUGCAGUAUUGAUUUACAGAGGAAUAUGACAACAGUCCAGGUUAGGUCGAUGGCAAGGUUUAGCAUUCUCUUAGGAUUCCAUGUGCAAAUGAUGAUUUACAAUCAGUUGAGUGCAUCUUAAAAUAUAUAUGCAUCAACAAAAAAAACAUAAAUUGCUGUGUUGUGAUUUUUUUUCACUUUACACAUCCUUUGUUUUUCUUCUUUUGGAGUUUUCAUGUGAGGUAUUAUUGGUUUUAAGCCCACAAAGAAAGAUAAUGGAAUCUGUAAGCCUGCUUUGGGAAUCAGGAUAAUUCUAGAAACCCUCACUAAUCCUUGGUAGAGAUAAAACAAUACCACCUCUGUAUUUUUCUCACAUACAGCUCUGGGAAGGAAGGAGCUCAGUAUAUAUACUCUGUUUCCAACUCUUUCUCUAAUAGUAAAUAAAUUAUUCAAACACAGACUUUGGAAUUGGGAGAACUAUAUUUGAGUUCUGGCAUUUUCACUCACUAAGUGUGUGACUUUGGGCAAGUCACUUACAUCUUUACAUCUCCGUGAUAUCCCCCACAAGAAUGGGGAUAAAAAUUGUAUCAAACUCCUAGUGUACAUAAGAUAAUUUGGUGAAACAGUACAUGUAAAGAAAUUAACAGCUGAUCCAAUGUUCAAUAAAUGUUACUGUUACCAUUAUUUUUGAAAGUCAUAAUUUUUUGUCAGCUUUAUUACAAUAAAAUUCACCCAUGAAUUUUUAUCAUAUAUACAGUAGCCUAACCACGGCCACAGUCAUGAAAUUGAAC